rnacentral:rRNA from 1 species
UACGAAGGGGGCAAGCGUUGUUCGGAAUUACUGGGCGUAAAGCGUGCGCAGGCGGUUCGCAAAGUCUGAUGUGAAAGCCCCGGGCUCAACCUGGGAACUGCAUUGGAAACUAACGGGCUCGAGUGUGGCAGAGGGGGGUGGAAUUCCACGUGUAGCAGUGAAAUGCGUAGAGAUGUGGAGGAACACCGAUGGCGAAGGCAGCCCCCUGGGCUAACACUGACGCUCAGGCACGAAAGCGUGGGGAGCAAACAGG